rnacentral:rRNA from 1 species
GACGAACGCUGGCGGCGUGCUUAACACAUGCAAGUCGAACGGUGAAGCGCCUUCCUUUUUGGUGGGUGUGGAUGAGUGGCGAACGGGUGAGUAACACGUGAGUAACCUGCCCCCUUCUUCUGGAUAACCGCAUGAAAGUGUGGCUAAUACGGGAUAUUCUGGGUCUGUCGCAUGAUGGGUCUGGGAAAGAUAUUGUUUCGGUGGGGGAUGGGCUCGCGGCCUAUCAGCUUGUUGGUGGGGUGAUGGCCUACCAAGGCGGUGACGGGUAGCCGGCCUGAGAGGGUGGACGGUCACACUGGGACUGAGACACGGCCCAUACUCCUACGGGAGGCAGCAGUGGGGAAUAUUGCACAAUGAGAGCAAGCCUGAUGCAGCGACGCCGCGUGAGGGAUGGAGCCCUUCGGGUUGUGAACCUCUUUCGCCAGUGAAGCAGGCCUGCCUCGUUUGUGGGUGGGUUGACGGUAGCUGGAUAAGAAGCGCCGGCUAACUACGUG